CUGCCUCCUGCUCUUUUUCCCUCCCUCCCUCUGCUGCUGCGUCGCUUGUCCUCCCUCCCGCUGUUCGCCGCCUCUUCGCUGCUGAUUUCUCCAUCUCCAGGUAAUGUCUAGUGGUACGCCGCCUCUCCCGCGUGGUUGAGGGCGUGGCCGCGGUCGUGGCCCGAUACUGCCACCAGUACCGUCAAAUGCUUCCCAGGUUGGGGAAGCAUCCCCUAGGCUACCCACAGCCCCUCGUAUGCCCGUACUGUCUCCCACCCCGCAGAUUCCUGAUAAUGCUCAUAAAUCUGGAGCUUCAUGCACGGCUCCAAACCGGCGGCUACUCCACCACCAUCACCAACAAUCCCCCACAAUUAGCAUACCAGUACAUCAGCCUCCAUGACGCCAGGGACAUUUCCCCACCCGUGGCCGUGUCUGAGGCAGGUGCCACCAGCGCAUCAGCAUUUCUAGUUUGAGAGCAUGAAGUGAAAAUAACCCACUAGUGGGACUGCGACGAUGAGUCCCUAUUUCGUGUCUUCCACAUAUGGGCCUGGAAGUACAUUAAGAAGACCUUCUCGGUCGUCCGAUCCUGUCUGGUCAGGCCGCUAUAGUUGGCCAACGAGAUCUAGCUCCAACU